GACGUAGGGCGCAAGCGUUGUCCGGAAUUAUUGGGCGUAAAGAGCUCGUAGGCGGUUUGUCGCGUCUGCUGUGAAAACUCGAGGCUCAACCUCGGGCUUGCAGUGGGUACGGGCAGACUAGAGUGCGGUAGGGGUGACUGGAAUUCCUGGUGUAGCGGUGGAAUGCGCAGAUAUCAGGAGGAACACCGAUGGCGAAGGCAGGUCACUGGGCCGCAACUGACGCUGAGGAGCGAAAGCAUGGGGAGCGAACAGG
rnacentral:rRNA from 1 species